rnacentral:rRNA from 1 species
UACAGAGGGUGCAAGCGUUAAUCGGAAUUACUGGGCGUAAAGCGAGCGUAGUCGGUUAUUUAAGUCGGAUGUGAAAUCCCCGGGCUCAACCUGGGAAUUGCAUUCGAUACUGGAUAGCUAGAGUUCGGCAGAGGGAAGUGGAAUUUCGGGUGUAGCGGUGAAAUGCGUAGAUAUCCGAAGGAACAUCAGUGGCGAAAGCGACUUCCUGGACCAGAACUGACGAUCAGGCACGAAAGCGUGGGGAGCAAACAGG